rnacentral:rRNA from 1 species
CUUGACGACCAUAGAGCGUUGGAACCACCUGAUCCCAUCCCGAACUCAGAAGUGAAACGAUGCAUCGCCGAUGGUAGUGUGGGGUUUCCCCAUGUG